rnacentral:rRNA from 1 species
UACAGAGGGUGCGAGCGUUAAUCGGAGUUACUGGGCGUAAAGGGCGCGUAGGCGGUCUUAUAAGAUUGAUGUGAAAUCCCUGGGCUUAACCUAGGAACGGCAUCGAUGACUGUGAGACUGGAGUAUUGUAGAGGGUAGUGGAAUUUCCGGUGUAGCGGUGAAAUGCGUAGAGAUCGGAAGGAACACCAGUGGCGAAGGCGGCUACCUGGACAAAUACUGACGCUGAGGCGCGAGAGCGUGGGGAGCAAACAGG